GAAAGAGCCCUGCCCCAAGCAGCAUCCCUCAGCAUCUCUGGGAGAUGUCAAUGUUAGAUCGGUCUCCCUACAAAGGGGACACUACCCAGAUGGAACGGGGCGGUGGAAGUCUUGCUAUCCCAGCCUGAAAGUGCUGAGGGCAGAUGCCUGUAUCCCUCAGACCCUUCAGAGAUGCCUCAGCUACAGAGAUACCACCUCAAUCAAGUCUGCACCCCUUCCUGGGAGCCCCACAUUCAGUGACCGAUUAAGGUGCCUCAAGGUAUCUACCUGGAAACAAGAGGUCUCUUCAUACUCAAGUACCAUCCUAUACCCUGACCAACACAUGUCAUGACCUACAUGAGAAUGUCAGCAAGGAGACUGGUGACAAUUGGGUGUGCCCUUUCAGCACUAAGUUCCUCUUCCCCCUCUCCCAGGCCUCCUGCAGACAGUGCUCUUUCUUGACCCACCAAACUCCAACCAGGCUGGGGCCACUGUGACCCAGGAAAAUGUACCAUCUGUCCUUGGCCUCCAGCAGGUGUGAGAUGGAUCCCAGACAAAUCCAGGGUGCCUACCCCCUGGACCGCCCCACUUCUUCACUGCAUGUCCUACAGCCUGUGGCCAGAUGAUUUACUGGCCUGCCAGGGAGGGCCUAUGGCGAAGAGGUAACCUUGGAAUUCUAACCAUUGUGAUCAAAGCCCAUUCCACUGAGCAGGUGUGUGAUCACCCCGCACCCCCACCAAGUUACUUUCUCUAUGUCUGGUUUCCUCAUCUGCAACAUGGGGAUAAUAAUCCACCUCAUGGGGUGCCUGUGAGGGUCGCACGAAUUAACAUGUGUAAAGUAUUUAAUAAAUGUCGACUAUCUCUAUGA